GUCACAUCUUAAAAUAGAGCUGACAACAAAAAUAACGAGAUAUAAAAGUAAUGGAAUCCAAACUAUUACUAGUUUUUAUACCUGUUUCAAUAGUUCUUGAAUUCAAUAGCACGCUUGACUCGAUCAAUCAGUUCCCUGUAUCUCUUCAGGUCUUUCAGACAUGUUGCGGAAUCGACGUUGAAAAAAACACAAAAAUUUGGAUGACCAUUUCCUUUGUCAUAAAAAAACCUUGUGUUCCAAUGAUCAACUUAAAAAAAAAUCUUAAAAUGCCAAAUAUUAUUGAUUUUAUAAAUCGAUUGAGCUACAAGACUUCCGAAGAUACGAUACGGGACAUGAUCAAACUGUUAUCUGACGCAACAGCUGACUAUAAUCUUUCUUUCAAUGCAGAGCUAUCAAUAUCGUCUGUUUUAGAAAAGCAGAUCCAAGAAAUUGUAUCAAAGCAUGGCGCCAACAUUAAUGUAGCUAUUGAAAUCAAUGGUCGGAUGCAUACUCUGCUGUCUGUUGUGUUAAAUAACUACUUCCCUGCUUACCCUGACUCACAGAAACUCGCGGAAUGGCUCCUGGAUCACGGGGCAUCUAUAGAGCAUACACAUCCAUCUGCUUUGCACAAGGCAAUUCUAAUGAGAUGUUGGAGUUUAGUUGUGAAACUCUACAUUUUAGGUCUUCAACCCCUGGACAUACAAGUUCACUUGUUUGGAGCGUUAUCACCUUUCAAGACCGCUCUAUUGAUGAAACAAGACAAACUUGCCCAGCUGUUUGUAACAAGCAACUUUUUAACUCCAACGGACAUUUCUGAUUGUAGGUCUAACACGUUAGGAGAACUACUUCGUCGUUAUCAUGUUCAAGUAGACGUGAGCAGUUGGAAAGAUAUUCAAUUAUCUCCUAAUUCUCUCUUGCAUAUCACAAAACAAUCCAUUUUAGCCAAUAUUCGCUUACAUAAUAGUGAACUACAUAGACUGCCUAAACCUAUCAGGGAUGAGUUAGAAUGGGACUCACAAGAUAAAUAUUUAAGUUACUUUCAGCAGACAGAAGAAGAUUUUACACUGGCAGACAUUAUUAUCGUAAAACUAUACAAAAGUGUUCCAUACAAGAUAUGGCGUAACCCAAUAUUGUAAACAUUAGCAAUUUGACAAAUUCUAAUUAGAGACUGGUUUAUCUAGUACAUUGAAACUGUUUUGUGCUGCGUUGGAAGAUUCCUGGAUGACCUUUAUUUUGUACAUUCUACUUUUUAAGAUGUCAUACACAACAGGAGUAGAAAGGGUGAAAUUGCAACAGCCCCUAGGAUUACAGAAGCCCAACCUGUGACCGCAGCUGUGUAUCAAAGAUUGGCCUCUUCAGUCACACAAGAAGUUGCAAAAGGGAAUAGUUUGUCUCUCGAGACGUAAAAUGCCACAGCUCUAUUCUUUUUAUAUUUUACCUUUUUGUUGGCUAUACGCUGUACAUUCUACUUUGUAAGAUAACUACUUUGUAAAUUCUACAUUGUAAGAUAACUAUACUUCGACAUCAUGAUUUGAGAUAAUAUUUAAUAUUUAAUGUAAAAACAAAUUUUGGUCACAUAUUUGGGGAUUUUCAAAUUUGGACCCUACUCCCCCCCCCCCCACUACGCCGUUGAUCAAAUGUAUGCUAUGUGUUAAAAUCAAUGUCUUAUUCUAGCCUAUUUAAUUUGCUUAAUUUGUUCAGUUAAUCGGUGUGUGAUAAUCUAAAGAUAACAAAAGAUUUAUAACAAAUAUACAUGCUUUGAUUCUAGUUUAACUAAACCAUAGACCUAAAGCACGUAAUGUGUCUAUUUAUAUAGUUUUAAGAUGCAGACAAAACAGGUUGAAAUGAGCAUUAUAAUUGCUAGAAAAGCGAAACGUUAAUGAAGAAAUUAACGAAUGAAGAUACGAAAUGUAAAGCUGUGUUCUGUAAGAACUCUUAAAAUUUUAGCCUGUAGUGUUUGCUCGCUGUGUUUCUCGACUGCUAAGUCUCAGCGUCACCAACUCAAUACCAAGUUUAUCAGCAAAUGGUUUCGGCUUAUUCAGGGUAUCAAGCCUGAAGUUUUCCUCGGUAUGGUCAAGUUAACUUUUUAUUAUGUCAAUGAGUCUACUGAUGUACUGUUAAGCAGCCACUAUGAUAAUUUGUAUGGGUGCCCAUGAAUAGGACUUAUAUACUGUAUCUCUACACUUAGUAUAGAACAGUGUUUCAUAGGUUUGAAAGUCUACAUUUAUCAAUUUAUUUUAUAUUAGGAAUAAAACAAGAGAACACUCUA